rnacentral:rRNA from 1 species
AUUGAACGCUGGCGGCAGGCUUAACACAUGCAAGUCGAGCGGAGAUGAGGUGCUUGCACCUUAUCUUAGCGGCGGACGGGUGAGUAAUGCUUAGGAAUCUGCCUAUUAGUGGGGGACAACAUUCCGAAAGGAAUGCUAAUACCGCAUACGUCCUACGGGAGAAAGCAGGGGAUCUUCGGACCUUGCGCUAAUAGAUGAGCCUAAGUCGGAUUAGCUAGUUGGUGGGGUAAAGGCCUACCAAGGCGACGAUCUGUAGCGGGUCUGAGAGGAUGAGCCGCCACACUGGGACUGAGACACGGCCCAGACUCAUACGGGAGGCAGCAGUGGGGAAUAUUGGACAAUGGGGGGAACCCUGAUCCAGCCAUGCCGCGUGUGUGAAGAAGGCCUUAUGGUUGUAAAGCACUUUAAGCGAGGAGGAGGCUACUGAGACUAAUACUCUUGGAUAGUGGACGUUACUCGCAGAAUAAGCACCGGCUAACUCUGUGCCAGCCGCCGCAGUAAUAC